GGCGGGGUUGGACUCUCUUUUUGCUUGAGCUUAAGCGUCAAAUCUGAGCCUCUAUUUUCUGGAUUCCAUUACUGUAAGAAGGCCAAUAAACCUUUUGUAAAUUUUAGGGGACGGAGUAUAACAGCUUUAGGGUACUAUAUAAACAAAAGUUCCAGGAAAUGACUAAUGCAAAAGCUCAGAGGGGAAAGAAUAGGGCUACAGAGAGAUUUGAUGGUUUUUGUUGCAAGGGUGGUUGCCUCUCUCUGAAUCAGCCAAUGAUUUCUCCAUCACUGUAAGAAUCCCAACAACACUUUUAUCAAUUUUGAAACAGAGUUAACAGCUCGUUUGGAGGGUUGUUACAUAUCGUUUCAAAGGGUUUCUGUGCCCUUCAACUCUUUUUUUAUUCUUUUUUUUAUGCUUCUGCUGGAGCAUUGGAUGUUGCCGGUGGAAGUGAUGAUGGUGAGUAUAAUUGGAUUACUUGAGAGAGGCAAUGAUGAUUUUUACCAAUUUUUAUUCCCUUAUGAGCUGAUUUAUUAGGUAUUUGAGGUUAUCCGAUCCGUGUCUUGGCGGGGCAUGCCACCAACUUUUCUGGUGGCUUUUGCAGCCAUGGCAUGGUCGGACUCUCUUCUUACCUGAGGUUUGCACCGAUCUGAGCCUCACUUUCCAUGUCAGUUUAGGGAAAUGAACAAAGCAAAAGCUCGAAAGAGGAAGAAUGAGGCCAUGGAGAGUAGCGAUUCUUCAUUCAAAGGGUCGUUGCUGCUCUCUGCAUCAGCCGGUGAUUUCUGCAUUACUGUAAGAAACCCAGCAAUGCUUUUAUCAAUUUUAACAGAUGGAGGAGUAUAUUAUUAACAGACCUUCGGCAGGCUCGCUUGCAUGGUUGUUACAUAUCGUUUCAAAGGAUUUUUAUACCCUCCCAACUCUUUUUUUCAAAUGCUUCCACUGGAGCAAUUGAAUGUUGCUGGUGUGAGCGGUGGAAGCGAUGGUGGUGAGUAUAAUCAGAAUGCUUGAAAGAGGGAAGCAAAUGGGUAGGAAAAUGAUCAAAGCAAAAGUCAUAAGGGAAAGAAUGAGGCUACAGAGAGUUGAAGAUUUUCAUUGAAAGGGUGGUUGCAUCUUUCUGUAUUCAGUCAAUGAAGCCAAUGAUUUCUCCAUUACUGUAAGAAUCCCUACAACCCUUUUACCAAGUUUAAGAGGGAAUAAUAUUUAACAACAUUUUGGA